UAUAUAAAAAUGAGGAAUAUGGGGGUUAUAGGACGCUCCCCCAAGGUAUAGAAUGUCACAGAAACAUUCCGUUACUUUAGGUGGCUGCCCAGCUGGACAGUCUUUGCACCCUUUUAAAAUACUUCUGAUUUUAGGAUUCAAGUGAUGUUAAAUCUUUUCAUAGCUCAAUUGCUUGUUUCAAUUCAAGACAUACAUGGGGUCAAAUUCAGAGCUGUGUAAUUCAAUUGAGUUGUUCCCUUUGACACCAUAGCUAUAUUGGCUCCUGGUGUAUGUUCUGUCCUUCGGAACUCAGACUGGGUUGAAGCUGAAACCAGAGGAUGUUUUACCAACUAUAUUCAGAGAUAAACCUGGUGAACAAUAUCUUCUCUGAGUCAGUGACUGAUGAUUUCAUACAGGCCCCCUUUAGCUUCUUAAAAUAAACCUGUCAUCACUGCCUCCACAAACUUACCAGUCUGGGAAGCAAGAGGCCAGCAAGCUGGAUCUUUUAUAGCAGUGCAGAGAACGAACUCCAGAAUUAUUGGGUGGUCACUUGGUCUCUGGGUGAGAUACUUGGGAGCUGUGCAGGAUGAUCUCAAGGAGCCUCUCAGCUGUGGAAUUCCCUAUCAGCAGAGACAGGAUCGGCUCUGAAUUCUCUUCCCAUUAACUGGUGCUUCAGCUGUUACCUACCUCUGAACAUCCUGACUCUUAAAUCUCAGCAGUACUGUUGCUCUA